rnacentral:rRNA from 1 species
GACGAACGCUGGCGGCGUGCCUAAUACAUGCAAGUAGAACGCUGAAGGAGGAGCUUGCUCUUCUGGAUGAGUUGCGAACGGGUGAGUAACGCGUAGGUAACCUGCCUGGUAGCGGGGGAUAACUAUUGGAAACGAUAGCUAAUACCGCAUAAGAGUAGAUGUUGCAUGACAUUUGCUUAAAAGGUGCAAUUGCAUCACUACCAGAUGGACCUGCGUUGUAUUAGCUAGUUGGUGGGGUAACGGCUCACCAAGGCGACGAUACAUAGCCGACCUGAGAGGGUGAUCGGCCACACUGGGACUGAGACACGGCCCAGACGCCUACGGGAGGCAGCAGUAGGGAAUCGUCGGCAAUGGACGGAAGUCUGACCGAGCAACGCCGCGUGAGUGAAGAAGGUUUUCGGAUCGUAAAGCUCUGUUGUAAGAGAAGAACGAGUGUGAGAGUGGAAAGUUCACACUGUGACGGUAUCUGACCAGAAAGGGACGGCUAACUACAUG